GCUCGGUUGGCUCAGUCGGUAGAGCGUGUGACUCUUACGUUCCUGGUAAAAAGUCGAUGAAGGAUCUCAAGGUCGCGAUUCGAGCCUCGCAUUGGGCU